AUAACCGGCCACAGCCUUGCAGUGCGGAGGCCGAAACGAGAGGCGUUCGGUUUGGAAUCGAGGCUGGAAACACCAGCUGCAAGGACAGCGCGGAGCAACAACCUUCUGUGACCACCUCUGCAGAAGACCCAGACGAGGACGCAUUUCCCCGGCUGUUGCAUCCAGAUUUCCUGGGGACAUGGCCGUGUGAACCUCGGUCCUGGUGGUCUUGGUGGAGUCAGAAGCUGAGGAAACCACGCACCCACGUCGGGUGGGAUGCCCGAGGUCCUGGGAGCCAGACCCCUGCACCAGGCACCAACCCCUAUCAUCCGUGCCCCACGCUGCUGGGAGGCAGUCCACGGCUCCUCACUGGGGUGAAGUCGCUGAAGCACUCGGAGCCGCUGAGUAUCUAACUGUGGUGGUGGACACAUGACCCCGCACACGUGAUUAAAUCCGUGGAGCCAAACACACACACACACACACACACACAACAAGUAAAUCAAACUGGGGAAGGCAAAGUAAAACCUGUGGAUUGAAUCUCCGUCAAUGUCCUGCUUAGAGCCCUGGCCGGUGUGGCUCAGCUCGUCGGAGAGUCAACUUGUACCCCAGAAGGUGGGGGCUUCGAAGGUGGGAGGUAACUGAUCCAUGUUUCUCUCUCUCACCUAUGUCUCUCUCUCUCUCCCUUCCUUUCUCUAAAACCAGGAAGGGGAGGGAGCAGCAGGCCCGGCUAUAUAUGGUGCGGCGAGAUGCUACGGCAGAGGACACCGAGCAGGCGUGCUCUCUCUGUGUUCUCUUACACCUGCCGUGAAUCCACCCUGAUCUCAAAGGAAAGUUCAAUUUCUUACAAAGGGGCGGGGCCACCGGGAGGCCCUGUGCUGUGUGUUUCCUGGUCGGCUUCCUUCCUUUCGGCCUCGGCGAUCUUUCUCCUUUGACGUUUCUCUAUCUUGUCUCUUGGAUGAGUGAGCUUGUUUGGGACACGUUUCCCUGGUUGUGACACGGUGUUCCCCAAGGAGGCGGAUUCCAGCAAUGGUGCGGUAGUUCGUCCUGCUUCAAACACAGGGGACAGC